CCAAUAGCGUAUAUUAAAGUUGUUGCAGUUAAAAAGCUCGUAGUUGAAUUUCGGGACCAAUUUGUUGGUCGUGCCUCGGUACGUACUGGUAUUAUUGGUUUCUCCCUUCUGAAGAACCUCGAUGCCAUUAAUUUGGUGUCGUGGGGAAUCAGGACUGUUACUUUGAAAAAAUUAGAGUGUUUAAAGCAAGCAUACGCUUGAAUACAUUAGCAUGGAAUAAUGAAAUAGGACGUUUGAUUCUAUUUUGUUGGUUUCUAGGAUCGACGUAAUGAUUAAUAGGGAUAGUUGGGGGCAUUAGUAUUCAAUUGUCAGAGGUGAAAUUCUUGGAUUUAUUGAAGACUAACUACUGCGAAAGCAUUUGCCAAGGAUGUUUUCAUUAAUCAAGAACGAAAGUUAGGGGAUCGAAGACGAUCAGAUACCGUCGUAGUCUUAACCAUAAACUAUGCCGACUAGGGAUCGGAUGAUGUUAAUUUUUUAAUGACUCAUUCGGCGCCUUACGGGAAACAAAGUGUUUGGGUC
rnacentral:misc_RNA from 1 species